CAACAACAGACAUUUAUUUCUCACAGAUCUAGAGGCUAGAACUCCAGGGUCAAGGUGCCGCCGAUUCAGUGUCUGGCUUCUAGAAAGAUCUAGUAUGAGCUUAACUCAGGAUAUGCUGAAUGGAGAACUGAAGAAGCUAUCAGAAGGUCUGGAAGGCACCAAGUACAGUAAUGUGAUGAAACUCCUUCGGAUGGCCCUCAGUGGACAGCAGCAAGGACCUCCUGUAGCUGAGAUGAUGUUGGCCUUGGGACCAAAGGAAGUACGGGAACGGAUCCAGAAGGUGGUUUCCAGCUAGGGAGAGGAUGUUUCGGGCAGUGGAGAUCGCCCUAAGAACCUGUGAGCUUAGAAACAGCUUUCAGAGACCAGAAGGAGGCCUGGGGCCCGUCGGGAAGUUUGCUGAAGGAACUAAGAGUGGAAACAAUCUCUGACUGCACACAAGUGCAUUUGUGAUCCACCACAGGCACGUUUUUGUCAAUUGGCUGGGGAAGCCCAACCCAUCUAACCUCCUGGACUCUGGAAAGGCAUUCUCCGGGUCUGGUUUCUCACACAUUACACAGCAGAGGUUUGGAGUUAGUUCACAGAAAAGUUAACAUCCCGGAACAGUGCAGAAGGCUUGGGUUUCAGUUUGCUAGGGCCCCCAUAACAAAAUGCCACAGAACCAGGUGGUUUAAACAACAGAGAUUUAUUUUCUCACAUUUGGAGGCUAGAAGUUCAAGAUCAAGGUGUCAGCAGGCCUGGUUUUUCCUAGAGGCCUCUUUUGUUGGCUUGCAGACAGCUGUCUUCUCACUGUGUCCUUGUGCGGUCUUCCCUCCAUGCACACACAUCUCUAAGUUUCAUUAUGUGCCCAACGUUCCUCUUCUAAGAACACCAGUUGGACUGGAUUUUAACUUUAACCAGCCUCAUUUAAGUUAAUCACCUCUUUAAAUGCUCAAUCUCCAAGUACAGUCUCAUUCUGAGGUUCCAGGGGUUUCUCAACGUAAGAAUUUAGGGGGACAGAAUUCAGCCCGUAGCAGCUGGGCAGCAGGACUCAUGGGUCCCAGUUCUCAGGCCCCAAGGACUCAGAGCAGCAAAGGAUACGUGACACAAGCAGGGCUGAACUGGACACCAGACUUUCUUUGGGGUUGUAAAAGGAGAAGUGUGACUCCACUGCCAAGGGUAAGCACUCUUGUCUUAUGCUACCCUUUAUUCUUGAACCUUGGGGCAGCCUGUGUCUCCCUUCCCUAAACGUCAUCUGUUCCGUUUUUCCAGUCUUCCAGACCUGGUCCUUGGACUGGAGACCUUCACCCUUCCUAUUUUGUGGCUUUCUCUUCAAAUCCACCUCGUCCUUCCUCCAUGACUUAUAAGUCAUCAUCUCUGCUGGUUUCUGAAAUGAGAUAUGCUUCUUGGGGUCUUCAGUGAAGAGGAAUAGCAAGUGAAAGGAGGAUGGUGGCAGGGUACAUGAACCCCUACCAGGCUUCUAGGCUUCCCCUGCAUGGCAGCCAGCCUCUAAGUUGGCCCCCAACCAUCCCUGCCUUCUUCUAUUCACACCCUUGUGUGGUUCCUUCCCACAUUGAAUAGGCCUGACUUGUGUAACCACUACACUAUUGAAGAAAUGAGAGUUUGACUUCUGAGGGUAAGUCAUAAAAUACAUCGUGGCUUCUGUCUUGUUUUCUUUGAUCGCUUACUUUGGGGGAAGCCAGCUUCCAGGUCAUGAAAAUACUCAAGCAGCCUUAUGGAGUGCUCCACAUGACAAGGGAUCGAGGCCUCCCACCAAUAGCCAUGGGAGUGUGCAAUCUUGAAAGCUGGUCCUUCAAUUCCAGCCAAGCAUUCACAUGACCGCAAUCCUAGCUGAUCUCGCUUGUGACCUCUAUGGGAGACCCUAAGCCAGAACCACUCAGAGAAGCUGCUCCGGAACGUCAGACACACAUGAACUGUGAGAUAGUAAACGUUUAUUGUUUAAAGCUACUUGGUUUGGGGAUAAUUUGCGUUUCAGCAGUAGACAAUAUAUUUAUUUUGUCCAGGGGAGUGGAAAGGCGAUUACAGAGUUUGUUGAGCCCCAUAGAGUCCUAGUCUUUGCUUAAAGAAAUAUACCAGUUCUUUCUAAUACAGAAUCCAUUAAGUUCGUUGGUUGCAAACAAUAGAAACCAACUCUGCCUCACUUAUGUUUAUUGGAGGCCAUAAGAGAGCCACAGCAUCUACCAAAAAGCCAAAAAAAAAACAGGUUUUGGAAAAGACAGGAACUAGCUACAGGAGCUAAUGGCCAAUCUUGUCUGAGUUCUUUGAUGGCGACACAUGAACUACAGCCGUUUUGUUGUUGUUAAUUUCUCCGUGUUUUCCCCUCAGUUUUGGAUGACUCUGCUCAAGGUUCAGAUUCUGAGGAGCAAGUAUCUGUUGGGCUAUCUGAGGUCCUGCUACCAUUCCUUGGCCAGUAAUAGGUAGUUUCACAGGGAUUAUAUGCAAUGGAGGAAAAGUUGUUCUCAAGGAAAACUAGGGAGCUUUCUCCAGAAGAUGAUGUAAUGGCAGAAACAACAGGUGGUUGACCACAGAAGGGGACAAUAAUAAUACUUGUAAUUUAUUGUGCGCUUAUAUGAGCCUCACCCUCUCCCAGGUGUCAGAUAAUGCUCGUAAAUGCCUUAGUCCAUCAUCUCAGUAAAUUUUUUUUAUAACACU
rnacentral:lncRNA from 10 species